rnacentral:rRNA from 1 species
GGCUAAACAUAUUACCGAAACUGUGGAUGAACCUCUUUAGAGGUUCGUGGUAGGAGAGCGUUCUAAGGGCGGUGAAGUCAGACCGGAAGGACUGGUGGAGCGCUUAGAAGUGAGAAUGCCGGUAUGAGUAGCGAAAGAAGGGUGAGAAUCCCUUCCACCGAAUAUCUAAGGUUUCCUGAGGAAGGCUCGUCCGCUCAGGGUUAGUCGGGACCUAAGCCGAGGCCGAUAGGCGUAGGCGAUGGACAACAGGUAGAGAUUCCUGUACCAGUGCUAAUUGUUUAACCGAUGGGGUGACACAGAAGGAUAGGGAAUCGCACGAAUGGAAAUGUGCGUCCAAGCAGUGAGUGUGAG